rnacentral:rRNA from 1 species
UACGAAGGGGGCUAGCGUUGUUCGGAUUUUACUGGGCGUAAAGCGCACGUAGGCGGAUUGUUUAAGUGAGAGGUGAAAAUCCCGGAGCUCAACUCCGGAACUGCCUUUCAUACUGGCAAUCUAGAGUCCGGAAGAGGUGAGUGGGAACUCCUAGUGUAGAGGUGGAAUUUCGUAGAUAUUAGGAAGAACACCAGUGGCGAAGGCGGCUCACUGGUCCGGUACCUGAC